AUUGAACGCUGGCGGCAGGCCUAACACAUGCAAGUCGAACGGUAGCACAGAGAGCUUGCUCUCGGGUGACGAGUGGCGGACGGGUGAGUAACGUCUGGGAAACUGCCCGAUGGAGGGCGAUAACUACUGGAAACGGUAGCUAAUACCGCAUAACGUCGCAAGACCAAAGUGGGGGACCUUCGGGCCUCACCAUCGGAUGUGCCCAGAUGGGAUUAGCUAGUAGGUGGGGUAAUGGCUCACCUAGGCGACGAUCCCUAGCUGGUCUGAGAGGAUGACCAGCCACACUGGAACUGAGACACGGUCCAGACUCCUACGGGAGGCGGCAGUGGGGAAUAUUGCACAAUGGGCGCAAGCCUGAUGCAGCCAUGCCGCGUGUAUGAAGAAGGCCUUCGGGUUGUAAAGUACUUUCAGCGGGGAGGAAGGCGGUGAAGUUAAUAGCUUCACCGAUUGACGUUACCCGCAGAAGAAGCACCGGCUAACUCCGUGCCAGCCGCCGCCGUAA
rnacentral:rRNA from 1 species